rnacentral:tRNA from 1 species
GCUCAGGUGGUGAAAUGGUAUACACGCUAGAUUGAGGUUCUAGUGCAAGAGAUUGCAUACGGGUUCAAGUCCCGUUCUGAGCACCA